GACUGCUCCUAUUAUUUUGGUACAAAAUGAAGGUUGUGUGCAUCAUUUUGAUGGACAGGCCAGGGGCUCGUCUCCUUUUCAGAGAAAAAACAACUUGAUUGCUCCUACUUUCAGUAGGCAACAUCUGUGCUACUACAUAACUAAGAGCACUUCAGUGCUUUUCCCACAAAAACAAAAACUGAGAGCACUUCUAUAAAAAAUGGCGGAUGGUAGCUCAACAGGCAACACACAUUUUUUUACAUCGCUUCACUGCUUCAAAGAAUGAAUUGCUGCCGUGUUCACCAUGCCAAGAACUCUUUUGAUGCAAACAACAUAGGGCGACUAACCACCAAAACCUGAAUCAGUAUAAAGCAAGUCGUACAUGGAACGUGUUACAACGGCCAGGGAUUGGCAACUGGCAUGGACAUGAUGGUCAUCAAACUGAGGCUAAAACCUGCAUGAAAAAACUUUAAAAGGAUUAUGGACGCACAGAUCAAAGGCGAAUUGGGAACCAUGCAGCUUAAUUGGAUGCCAAUUAAAGGCCCAUACUCUAUAUCCAUCUGAAUCCUUUUUUAGAUAACAAACACCAAACUAUGGCAAAAAUCAGUAAUUGACGACACAAACAUUCCUUGUACUAAGACCUUGAUGCAUCAUACCAUAAAUUUACACCAUAGGAAAAUAAAUAUAUCUAUGAAUGGAAUAUACCGAUCGGCAAAAACUCAAGUUAGUAAGAUGAAGUAAACAGAACCGGAUUCCUAAACCAGAGUGUCAAAUUUUCACACAAAUUACUUAGUACUCCCUCCGUUCCUAAAUAUAAGUCUUUCUAGAUAUUUUACUAUGUGACUACAUACGAAGCAGAAUGAGUGAAUCUACACUCUAAAAUAUGUCUACAUACAUCCGUAUGUUGUUUUUUAUUUGAAAUGUCUAAAAAGACUUACAUUUAGGAACGGAGGGAGUACUAUUUAGACACCUAUUUUCUCGAUCGAUACUUCAACCCUUUCAUAUUCUAGCAACCAAGAAACUACAUAAAAUUGGGACCUCCCCAUGGUCUGGCUCCUCCAGAGUACCAGCUCCUCAUCGUUCUCAUUCUGCGCAGGCGUUGUCUGCCAAGGUGGCAUCAACUCCACGGUUGGCUCCUCCAAGCUCAACGACAGUCAGCCCAAUUAAAAAUUGAAGAAGAAUCUUGUUGGUUAUACAUGACAACUACAACAACAAUAAUUAGACAUACAAGACCACCAUUGAAAAACUUCGGAACACCUACUUGUUUUAUGUGGGUAUAUAAGCUCUCACAUUCCACAUUACAAGUCAGAAAACAAAAAAUGAUCACGGGUUUCUGUUUCCAGUUUGCAAGAUAUAAGCUUUUAUAAAACUGUUUAUUAUCGCUACAUUGUUUCUCUGCAAGCAAGAAUACAUAAAUCGGAAGAAAUAUAUCUGCUCAUACUAUAACUGAUUUUCUUUUCUUCCCUAGAAAAUAUAUGCAUAAAUGUGAAGAGAAUAUAGUUCAAGGUAAUAUGUGUGAUCAUUGUUCCAUAUAUACAUAGUUAAGAGGAGAAACAACUUAUACCACCUAUAAAUUUGUUCUGUACAACAAUUCUACAGUGCAAGACAAUCAAAGAGGAUGAUGCUCCCAAUGCAGUUAGGCAUAGUGAGAGCCACAAUCAUAGUAUUGAAACGAAUUGCCUAUAAAUACAUGAAACUCGUGGAUAAAAUUGACAAACAAUGAAACUCUGUGAAUUCAGAAUAAGCAAGUAUCUCUAACUGUUGGUAAAAUCAUAAUUGACCUCCUUCAGUGAGCUGCUCACGAAACAUUCAUUCAUAUCUACUAUCUUCUAUUUAGUCAAAAGUUGAAUGCUUGAAAAAAAUAAGUAUUGAACAAUCAGUGUUAUAUUUUUAAGAAUUUAGUCAAAAUUGAUCCUGUGUAUACCCUUCUUCCCAACCGUGCUUGAGAACUACUGUAUUACAUAGUUGACGUGUUACGUAGAUGUGUAGCUGAACCUGUGCUGGAGGCCGAGACUUUGCCCGAAAACUCCAUGGAUGGUCGGAGGACGUGAUCCCAGGAGAACAAAGUUGUCUGGUCUUUAUCGCCAAAGCUUCUCUCUGAGUCGCGAGUUGUAGCAUGCCCGCACCCGACCUCAAAAACCUGCAAAACAAAACAGGGGAAGAUAAAAGUAGGGGGAGCACGAACUGAGAGGGAGAGGAUUGGGCCGUGGCCGGUUACCAGAUCGGCGCCACGUCGGCCUGACGAUACGAGCCCAACGGCGGCGACCCCUGGGAUGCCAGGAGCUCAAGCCCACGCCCUCCUCGACGGUCGAAGGCGAAGCUGCUUCGAAUCCUUUGGUCGCCCGCUUCGGCGGGCUCGGUCCAUCGCGAGUGGCAGGCUGCAGAGGGAACAAAGCGCCAUCGAUGGUGACGGAUUUGGAUGCCGAUCUCACAAAGCGCCGGAUUCGGUAGCGAGACUGUGGAGGCGAGCAGAUCGGGAGGAGUAGGGCCAGGGCAAAGGGUUGGCGUGGGUUCGUUUGGGAGCGAGAGAGAGCGAGAUCGCGUUGACUCACGUUCAGUUUUUUUUUUCAGCGGAAA
rnacentral:lncRNA from 1 species